rnacentral:rRNA from 1 species
UAGGGAAUCUUCGGCAAUGGGGGCAACCCUGACCGAGCAACGCCGCGUGAGUGAAGAAGGUUUUCGGAUCGUAAAGCUCUGUUGUAAGAGAAGAACGUGUGUGAGAGUGGAAAGUUCACACAGUGACGGUAACUUACCAGAAAGGGACGGCUAACUACGUGCCAGCAGCCGCGGUAAUACGUAGGUCCCGAGCGUUGUCCGGAUUUAUUGGGCGUAAAGCGAGCGCAGGCGGUUUAAUAAGUCUGAAGUUAAAGGCAGUGGCUUAACCAUUGUUCGCUUUGGAAGCUGUUAAGCUGGAGUGAAGAAGGGGAGAGUGGAAUUCCAUGUGUAGCGGUGAAAUGCGUAGAUAUAUGGAGGAACACCGGUGGCGAAAGCGGCUCUCUGGUCUGUAACUGACGCUGAGGCUCGAAAGCGUGGGGAGCAAACAGG